UACGUAGGUCUCAAGCGUUAUCCGGAUUUAUUGGGCGUAAAGGGUCCGCAGGCGGAUUAUUAAGUCUGAUAUUAAAGGUCACGGCUCAACCGUGAAUCUGUAUUAGAAACUGAUAGUCUUGAGAGCAGGAGAGGUAGAUGGAACUCAUGGUGUAGGGGUAAAAUCCGUUGAUAUCAUGAGGAACACCGAAAGCGAAGGCAGUCUACUGGCCUGACUCUGACGCUCAGGGACGAAAGCGUGGGGAGCGACCGGG
rnacentral:rRNA from 1 species